rnacentral:rRNA from 1 species
AGAGUUUGAUCCUGGCUCAGAAUGAACGCUGGCGGCGUGCUUAACACAUGCAAGUCGCACGAGAACGCUUCAGCUUGCUGAAGUUAGUAAAGUGGCGCACGGGUGAGUAACGCGUGGGUAAUCUACCCCCGAAUUGGGGAUAACAUUGCGAAAGCGAUGCUAAUACCGAAUGAUAUCUUAAGUCCUUAGGUAUUUAAGAUCAAAGAUGGCCUCUACAUGUAAGCUAUUGUUUGGGGAUGAGCCCGCGUACCAUUAGCUUGUUGGUAGGGUAAUGGCCUACCAAGGCUGCGAUGGUUAGCUGGUCUGAGAGGAUGAUCAGCCACACUGGAACUGACACACGGUCCAGACUCCUACGGGAGGCAGCAGUGAGGAAUUUUGCGCAAUGGGGGAAACCCUGACGCAGCAACGCCGCGUGAGUGAUGAAGGCUUUCGGGUCGUAAAGCUCUGUCAAGUGGGAAGAACCCACGUGGUGCUAAUAUCACCAUGUGCUGACGGUACCACUGAAGGAAGCACCGGCUAACUCCGUGCCAGCAGCCGCGGUAAUACGGGGGGUGCAAGCGUUAUUCGGAAUUACUGGGCGUAAAGAGCGCGUAGGCGGUCUUUUAAGUCAGGUGUGAAAGCCCGGGGCUCAACCCCGGAAGUGCACUUGAAACUAAGGGACUUGAGUAUGGGAGAGGGAAGUGGAAUUCCUGGUGUAGCGGUGAAAUGCGUAGAUAUCAGGAGGAACACCGGUGGCGAAGGCG